AUCGGACGACGUAUCGGAUUACUGGGCGUAAGCGCAUGCAGGUGGUUUGUUAAGUCAGAUGUGAAAGCCCGGGGCUCAACCUCGGAAUAGCAUUUGAAACUGGCAGACUAGAGUACUGUAGAGGGGGGUAGAAUUUCAGGUGUAGCGGUGAAAUGCGUAGAGAUCUGAAGGAAUACCGGUGGCGAAGGCGGCCCCCUGGACAGAUACUGACACUCAGAUGCGAAAGCGUGGGGAGCAAACAGGAUUAGAUACCCUGGUAGUCCACGCCGUAAACGAUGUCUACUUGGAGGUUGUGGCCUUGAGCCGUGGCUUUCGGAGCUAACGCGUUAAGUAGACCGCCUGGGGAGUACGGUCGCAAGAUUAAAACUCAAAUGAAUUGACGGGGGCCCGCACAAGCGGUGGAGCAUGUGGUUUAAUUCGAUGCAACGCGAAGAACCUUACCUACUCUUGACAUCCAGAGAACUUUCCAGAGAUGGAUUGGUGCCUUCGGGAACUCUGAGACAGGUGCUGCAUGGCUGUCGUCAGCUCGUGUUGUGAAAUGUUGGGUUAAGUCCCGCAACGAGCGCAACCCUUAUCCUUGUUUGCCAGCGAGUAAUGUCGGGAACUCCAGGGAGACUGCCGGUGAUAAACCGGAGGAAGGUGGGGACGACGUCAAGUCAUCAUGGCCCUUACGAGUAGGGCUACACACGUGCUACAAUGGCGCAUACAGAGGGCGGCCAACUUGCGAGAGUGAGCGAAUCCCAAAAAGUGCGUCGUAGUCCGGAUUGGAGUCUGCAACUCGACUCCAUGAAGUCGGAAUCGCUAGUAAUCGUGGAUCAGAAUGCCACGGUGAAUACGUUCCCGGGCCUUGUACACACCGCCCGUCACACCAUGGGAGUGGGCUGCAAAAGAAGUAGGUAGUUUAACCUUCGGGGGACGCUACCACUUGUAUUGCCU
rnacentral:rRNA from 1 species